UACAGAGGUGGCAAGCGUUGUUCGGAAUUACUGGGCGUAAAGGGCGCGUAGGCGGCCUUCUAAGUCAGACGUGAAAUCCCCCGGCUUAACCUGGGAACUGCGUCUGAUACUGGACGGCUAGAGUUUGGGAGAGGGAUGUGGAAUUCCAGGUGUAGCGGUGAAAUGCGUAGAUAUCUGGAGGAACACCGGUGGCGAAGGCGGCAUCCUGGACCAACACUGACGCUGAGGCGCGAAAGCUAGGGGAGCAAACGGG
rnacentral:rRNA from 1 species